AGCGCGAGGCUGAUAAAGCCGGGUUUGGCCCGCGGAGCCCCAGCCCCAGCAUCUCACUGCUGAGGACAGAAGGGAAGACUUGGAGCCAAGAGACUGAGAGCGUUGAAUAACGGGGCAUCCUUUCCUAAAGAGUCCACAUCCGAGGAGCCUCAGACAGGAGUGGCCUGGGACCUGGCCAAGAACACAAAUCAAAGGGAGAGGGUUGGGUGCAAGUGCUGCCUGCUCCCGGGAGGAAGCUGCCUUCCUUGCCCGUUGUCCAAACAAUGGAAUUUCCUGGAUUCCUUGCUGCAGUUCUUCAAAGUUCAUGGACAUAUGCUGACUUUUUAAAAGCUCGCUGUUACCAGGGGCAAAAAGAAGCAUAAGAGAAAAAUGCUUACCUUCAGACUCUCCAAGGUAGUCAAAAAAUUCUUCCCAAAGAAAUGACCAACAGCGACAAAACUGCUCACCUGUUCAUCGUGAAUCUGGAUCCUGGCUGUCACACAGCAGGUUACUAGGUCCUGGGUGGGAUGCGGAGACGGGAGGAUAGAAGGAACAGGAGAGGGUCUAAUCAUCAAAACUGGGGUCCAGUGGUGUACCAAAUGGGUCCUACUGCCAGGCUAACCUCACCCCCUUCCUCGUUCCCCCUCUAUCCUCCCCACCCCCCAGUGGCUUCUUGUUCUCUGACUGUUCAAGAUGUUUCUCCCCUCUGCGCCUGUACCCUUGCUGUCUUUUCUGCCCACCCACACCCAUUCCAUUCCUCUGUCCAUUAACAUUCAACAUGGAGAAUGCCACCUUCAGGCAGCCCCCCACCGUGACCCUCUCAGAUUGUAUGGAGCUGGGCAGAGGAACACACUGGAAGGACACCUAAUACAAUCUGAGAGGGUCAGGGUGAGUGGGCAGCAAGGAAGGUGAGGACGUUAUGUUUAAGCUGACACCCAAUGACAAAUGUAGUAGAAUAAAGAGUAACAUCAAGAAGACGAAAUCGGGGACUUCACUGGUGGCAUAGUGGUUAAGAAUCCGCCUGCCAAUGCAGGGGACAUGAGUUCGAUCCCUGGUCCGGGAAGAUCCCACAUGCCAUGGAGCAACUAAGCCCGUGCGCCACAACUACUGAAACCCACGCACCUAGAGCCCGUGCUCCAGAACAAGAGAAGCCACGGUGAUCAGAAGCCUGUGCACCACAACAAAGAGUAGCCCCCACUCGCCACAACUAGAGAAAAGCCUGCGCGAAACAGCAAAGACCCAACACAGCCAAAAAUAAAUAAAGAAAUUAAUUAAUUAAUUAAAAAAAAAAGACAAAAUCAGGGACUUCCCUGGUGGUCCAGUAGUUAAUACCCUGAGCUCCCAAUACAGGGGGUCCAAGUUCGAUCCCUGGCUGGGGAACUAGAUUCCACAUGGUACAACUAAGAGCCAGCACAGACAAAUAUUAAAAAAAAAAGAUGAAACCAUGCAAAGGGCCCCUGAGGCAUGAACAAAUGCAGCACUUGUAUUGUCCUUGUGUGUUUGUCAUCUGUCUCCUCCACCGAGCCGCAGUCUCCAUGACAGGAAGGACCACGUCUAUUUUAUUUGCCAACAUAUGCCCAGUGCCCAGCAUAGUGCCUGCCUGGCACAUAGUAUGUGCUCAGUAUACAUUAUUGAAUAUUGAGUGAACCGCUGCCCACCAUUCUUCCUGCCUAAGACCAGGACCGUUCCUGCAGGUCUGGGUCAUGGGGCCCCAGCUUGGGAGAACAGAGCAAGGCAGAAGCUGCUUUCCUUGUAGUGUCUGGCAGUGAGAGAGGGCCAGAGACUCAGGGCCCAGGUGAGUGAGCCCCAUCUCAGCCACAGCUUUCAAGGCUUCAAGUUCGGGCUGUUUAUUUUCUGUGCUUAUGGGAAUCUGAGAACAGUCUUGACUGAAUUCCUUCUUAUCUCUCAGCUGCAUGGUAAUUUCUGGGGAAAAGGAAGCUUGGAAUUAAGAGUUCAAAUCCCCCGAAAGCCAUAUGCCAAGCCACAUAGGAGGAAAAAUCCCCAGCUGCCUUCUUUAGUAUAAGGAUGAUAGCAGCUAACUGGCAUGCUGAUCUGGGCCAGCCAAGCCUUUAACUCAAUCAAAACAACAACAACCACAGCAGCUAUAAAAUUCCUGCUGUGGCUGUUGGUUCUAGGGACCCAUCUCCUACCAGCUGCUUUGCAUCUUUUUACUUGUUUGUUUGUUAGUGCCUAGGAUAUUUAAGUUCUUUGAAGGCUCUGGGCCUAUUUCACUCUAUAUCAAAUAUCUUAAAUUCUAACCAAAUCUUACAUUAGGUAUAAUGCAUUUUGCUCUUGCUCUAAAACAUUUGAAAGGGUUUUUGUUUCAGCUAGCUAAUGCUGCAUAACAAAUCACCUCAAAACUUAGUGGCUUAAAACAACAAUAUAUUAUCUUUCAUGGGGUGGUUCUUCUGCUCCAAGUAGGAUUAGCUGGGACAGUGGGUAACUAUAAUCAGCUGAAGCACUGACCAGGAGCUCAGCUGAAAUUGAAAUGUUUGAGAUGCCUGGGCAUCUGGAAUCAGUUGGUGCUUGACUGGGAGCUCAGGUGGGGCUGUAACCUGGGGCACUUGGUUCUUCUCCAUGUGGGCCUUUCUAGGUGACCACUUGGACUGUCCCAUGGCAUGGUGGCUAAGUUCUAAGUAGGACUGUGCCAAGAGGAAGCCUUCCAAAAGGAAGGCAGUAGAAGCUACCAGAUCAAUUAAGGUCCAGUUUUGGAAUUGGUAUAGCAUUGUUUUGUCUAUAUUUUAUCAGUCAAAGCAGUGACAGGCCUGUCCCACAGUUAAUGUGGGAGGGGACACACAAGGGUAUAAGCACUGGGAGAUGUGAACGUCUGGGUCAUCAAAAUGAUCAUCUAAGUUUUUAAAUAAUUAUUACUGUGGUUCCUCAAAAAAUUAAACACAGGAAUACCAGCAAUUCCACUUCUGCAUGUAUACCCAAGAGGUUUGAAAGCCAGGAUUUGAAUAGAUAUUUGUGUAUCCAUAGGUACAGCAGCGUUAUUCACAAUAGCUAAAAGGUGGAAACAACCCAGAUGUCCAUCGAUGGAUGAAUAGAUAAACAAAAUGUGGUCCAUCCAUACGAUGGAGUAUAUUAUUCAGUCUAAAAAAGGAAGGAAAUUCUGAUCCAUGCUAUAACAUGGAUGAACCUGAAGACAUUAUCCUUAGUGAAAUAAGCCAGUCACAAAUGGACAAAUAUUGUAUGAUUCCACUUACAUGAGGUGCCUAGGGAAGCCAAAUUCAUAGAGACAGUAUAUAGGAUAGUGCUUGCCAGAGGCUGGGGAGAGGAGGGGACGGGAGUGAUUGUUUAAUGGGUACCAAGUUUCAGUUUGAGAAGAUGAAAAGAUUCUGCAGAUGGGUAGUGAUGAUGGUUGUACAAUAACGUAAAUGUACUUAAUGCUAGUGAACUGUGUUUUUGAAAAUGGUUAAAUGUUAAAUUUCAUGUUAUGUAUGUUUUAUCAUAAUAAAAACGUUAUUCUUUUAAA